UAAAUAUAAUAUAAAAUAUCAUGUCCUAGUAUUUUAGGACAUACUUUGCCAACUUGAACUCCAACAAUGUGCCUUAUUCUUAUAAGAUGUUUAAUAUUUUAUUAUUAAAGACUCUCUUCCAUCAUUAAAGCAUAAUAUAAAAAUAGAGAGAGAAAGUGAGUGUUGAUGUGAUUUUAUAAUAAAAUAUGUUAUAGGGCAAGGAGAGAGGUGCCUCAAAAAUAGGGCUUGAGAAUGUUGUCCUAGUGAUAUAAGGCAUCAGUAGGACAUUGUUGGAGCAACUUUUUCCAUCAAAUGC
rnacentral:lncRNA from 1 species